CAUCAAUCUAUUCGCUUCAAUUUUCAUCUAAAUUUUUUAAUGGCACUUUCUCUUUAUAUGCUGUAGAUAAAGCAUUGAACAGAAAUGGCAACUGCAGCAUAUCACGGAUCGUUGCUACCUUCAGUUGCUCGUCUACGUCAAAAUCUAUCAUUUUACAGUUCAUCGAGUAGUUCAGUGGCAAUCGAAAAGAAGGGAUCGUCCAAAGGAAGAGGCAGGCGCCUGGCAGUGGUGAGAUGUAACAUAGGAAUAGAGGACUUCAUUGGAGGAGAUCUUGUAAAGUUUGAUUUGGGACAGUGGUUGUUAGACGUCGAAGAGCACAAAGCUUUGGCUAUCUACUCACCACACGAAGGUGGGUACGAGGGCCGGUACCUUAACCAGCUUCGGUACCAAGGCUACCACUUCUUGGACCUCUCAGCCCGUGGCCUUGGUGAUCCUGAAGCCACUCUCACCAAGUUUCACCCUGUUUGUCCUGUAAGCAAUUGAAACGUGUAACCGAAGUAUGAUAUUCUUAUGAGUAAUGUUAUUCAUAGUCAACGACUGCAAUAGUCGAUAUAUGUGACAUCUUGAUAUUGGAGGCAUUAACUUUUUAUUUAAGGAAUCAAAAUUGCAGAAAUUAACGUCUCAAAUAACAAAGUUGAUAUAUAGGAUGUCACGUAAGGUGACUACUGUAUUCGCUGAUUACAAAUAGCAUUAUUUUAUUCUAAUAGUAUGUAGAAUUAAUACACCAUUAGUAUAUUUCAGGCUCACGUAGGGAAACAGCCGAUAGCCAGAUGGUAUUUCCCACCAGAAGUUGAUUACAGGCUCUCUCUGCUUCCACCAAACGCCAAAGGACUAGCGGUUUGGAUCAUUGAAGCGAAGGUAACGAUAACUUUGAUUAAUUUUGUACCUCUUCACUUGGUUAAAAAUGCACGAUUUGUCCAAUGUUGUUAAGUUUUGUAAAUUCGACAUUUGCCAGGUUUUGUCGAAGGCAGAAUUGCAGUUUCUUGCAUUACUUCCCUCACUAAGGCCUAGAGUGAGGGUGAUAGCAGAAUGUGGAAACUGGUAUAAUAUCUAUUCUUUUUUUGUUUUUAUACAUUGAGACUUAACAUUUACCUUCUAAUCAUUUUAAGAAUCACUUAAUCAAAUUCAUAUAUUUGCAGGAGAAAAUUUAUGUGGAAACCACUCAAAGAAAUUGCAGGACUGCCAGCAAAUUGAUGAUCUUCUAUUCGAAAUGAUUAAAUGACAGCCAAGAAUGCAACAGAUGGAAAAAUACCUUCAGCCCCUCGCUUGUCCAGGUACCACAGAGCAGUUUUUCGCAUCACGAUUUGUAUAACUUGUAAAUUAUAUUAUUGAGAGAAUAUAUGGUAAAAAAUGAAAAGAAAAAAAAAAUUGUACCAAAUUUAGAUUUAAUUUUUUUUUUCACUCGAUGAAUUUAGUUGGUGAGUCCAAAGAAAAAGCAAUGUUGGUGUUUGAAAAAUGGGAAAUUUUCCCCUACAGAAGAAUUUCAGAUACUCACAUGGGGAGAUGUGAGUAAAAUAAUUCAAAAAAUAACCCACCCACCCCAUGUUGUGUGUACUCUGUAAGGUAUCUGUAAAAAAUUGUUCUAUACAUGUUGUAGAACUCUUGAAAAAUAACAGAGCUAUUGAAAAUAUGAAAACUUCGAUUUUGAAUUUAAGUGGGGAUAGGUUGAAUUUUUAAUUGAUUUACGUUUUUUUUUUAAUUUAAAGGACCACAAUGUGAAAUAUAUAUUAAUAUAAAUUAAAGAGGAGCUUAUGAAUCUUACUAUUGUCGGUUUCAUUUCGAGU
rnacentral:lncRNA from 1 species